AUUGAACGCUGGCGGCAUGCCUUACACAUGCAAGUCGAACGGUAACAGGUUAAGCUGACGAGUGGCGAACGGGUGAGUAAUACAUCGGAACGUGCCCAGUAGUGGGGGAUAGCCCGGCGAAAGCCGGAUUAAUACCGCAUACGACCUAUGGGUGAAAGGGGGGGAUCGCAAGACCUCUCGCUAUUGGAGCGGCCGAUGUCAGAUUAGCUAGUUGGUGGGGUAAAAGCUCACCAAGGCGACGAUCUGUAGCUGGUCUGAGAGGACGACCAGCCACACUGGGACUGAGACACGGCCCAGACUCCUACGGGAGGCAGCAGUGGGGAAUUUUGGACAAUGGGCGCAAGCCUGAUCCAGCCAUGCCGCGUGCGGGAAGAAGGCCUUCGGGUUGUAAACCGCUUUUGUCAGGGAAGAAAUCCUUUGGGUUAAUACCUCGGGGGGAUGACGGUACCUGAAGAAUAAGCACCGGCUAACUACGUG
rnacentral:rRNA from 1 species